GUUUUUUUUUUCACUUUAAUCGACUAUGAUAAGAUACCAACUUUCAGUUUCAUCUACAACUAGCACCAUAUCUAUCUAUCUAUAACAAUAAAAUAGACUUCUCUCUCUUCUCUUUGUGCCACCUCAGCAAGUAGCAUAGGGCAAAUUUGGACACAUGUCACCUAAAAAAAAUCAACGAAACCGAUUUUUCCUUUCUCUGCGUUCUUUUAUUUGUCUUUGUCUCAAAGCCCAUAUUUUGUGUUCUACAGAAAAAACUCCAUUUAGGUCAAUCGUCGUCGUUGUCCCGACAGAGCCGCCUCCAAUAUACAACCUGAAACGCUUGCGUUUCCAUUAAUGUGGUCCUUUAAUCCGAGCAUUAACAAGCUUUGUCCCACUUACCCAACUACGAAACAUUAAAUUGAGCUCAGACUCUUCGUAUGUAACCAACCAAAGCUCUCCUAUUAAUUGACAUCGUUGCAGCGAUGAAAACCGCCGUGUGUACGAAAACUACAAGUAUCAUCUCUGCUCAUUAUCACCUCCAACAAUGGCGAAUUCAUUCACCCUGCUUGGUGAUCUGAAAGCCGGUCGAUGUUCAACCACAGCCAAGUCAACGCUUAUGCAAAGAUCCGUGAAUGCGAACCGUCUCAGCAUCUGCAGGGAGCGUUUCACUAAAGGCUCUGUGUACAUGAUGAGUGGGUUCGACGAAACCCAGAAUUUUCGAUUGUCUGAUGCUCCCUCGCCAUACGUUUCACUAAUGGCACUUUUUUUGAAAGUUGCCAGAGUCAGUGAAGCCUACCAAAUGAAUUUUUCUGAUUCCAUAUGUACGACCAGUUACUUACACUGUCGAACACGAACAGACAACUACCUGGUAUGUUUUUGGAUUAAAGGAGUGCUAUUUGUUUGUUUCUAUUGUUCAAUCGAUCGUAUCUCUACAACUCCUGAUUCCUUUGUUAUCUUAUAGAUUUAUUGAAAAAUGCUAAUCUUUUUGUGGUUAGCUUCGUAGCUCUUUACGAGAGGAGUCCUUCUGAAUGCUCUCGAGGUCAUUUUUAUUCAGAAAAAGCAGAGAUUUUUGGGUUAACUUCAGGGAUUUGUUCUGCCUAUUAACUUGAACUCCAUGAUAUGUUUCUAUCUAGGAUGUAAUGUUCUGUGUAUCCACUCAAAAAGCUCAAUUUUUACUCUAUCUAGGAUGUAAUUUUCUACAAAACCACCGUUGUAAAACUUUUAUGUGCUUUAGUUCUCUCAGGCAAAAUGUUUUAGAUUUUGUUGGUGUAGUUAUUACUUAUGUUCUAGCCUCUGUAAUUUAGUAUUGACAGAGAUUGAUGUAACUUGGUUUUGUUUCAUAAGUAUAUGCAGCAGUACAAUGAUGUUGGACUGUCUACCCUUGGGAUGGGUAUGCAUGUUCUUAAUCUCUCUCUCCUAUACAUUCUUCUCUAUAUAUUGAGACUGUAGUACUCUUUCUACUGAUAUCUAUUCAAUCAUAAGAAUGUGCAGCCACUGCAAACAUUGUUACUGGAAUACUGACGAACAAUAGUGGUUUUUCUGUUUAGAAGAGUAAGUAUCUUUAUAGUGUUUGAAUUCAGCAUAUUAUAUAUUAUAAAUUGGAGGUUUUGUUACGAGCAGACUAUAAAUGUCAUAGAGCCAUAGAUUAUAAGCGAAAGAUGAAGUAGGAGAUAAAGAGGAAUCAGAAUCAGAAUCUUCAAAACGAAGGUAUCUGAUGAGAGAAUCUGAAUCAGCAUGUUGAAUCAACACAACAGAAGCUGCUGCAAUUUGAGUAUCAAAGAAUCCAUUUCAUUUUUAUAGUGUUUCUGAGUGUCAUGACAAAACAUCUUCAGGGAAAGAGGCUUUGAUCAACAAAGAUUGACUCUUUCCAGUUCGGUACCGGUUUAACCAUAUACAUAGAUCCUAUAUACAUGUCCAAACCCAAAAAAAAAAUUUGUGAAGCUAAGCGAGCUUUGUUGUAUAUAUUUUUGUUUCAAAGACUUGAGUGUAACGUUAUUGAUCCAAGUAUCCCGUACUCUGUGUAAUUCUGGUUCAUACCAUAUAAACAAAUAAUUCUGGUUCAUACCGUAUAAACAAAUGUUUUCCUUUAGUUUCACAGAUUAUUUUUUUUCUUUGUAAGUUAUAAUUAAUCAAUUUCCCUUUAUUACGGUCUGAAUUGUUGAACUUUGCAAGUGGUUAAUUUUUUUUGAUUUAUAUUGUUUUCUUGGAUAUUGAACUUUGAAAGUUUUUUUUUUUGAACUUUGCAAGUUAUUAAUUUUGUGUGAUUUAUAUUGUUUUUGGAUAUUGUUAUGGUUUGAUUAAGUACAUAUUUAAUAUAGUUUUUAAAUAUCUUAAUUAAAUAUAUUUCGUUUUUGAAAAUAAAAGAAAAGAAAUCUGAAGAAAUACAUGGGGUAAUGAUUAAAUUUGGAAGCUAAAGGGAUUUAAUUUUAGGCAGUUGUAAAUGGUCUUGGAAAAUUUAAGAAUUACUCUGAUUAAAUUAAAUUAUUCUAGAAUUUCAACAAACUAAAAGAUUUUUUUAAAACUAAAAAUUCCACUAAAAACACUAUACAAUAACUGAAAAUUUUAAAAAUUACAACUUCAUAAUAUUUUAAACAAUUAUUUUCAAAUAGUUUAUGAAUAAUCAAGUUCAAUAACAAUUUAAAAAUUUAUGUUUAAAUAACAAAUGAUUUGUCACUUUAAUUUAAAUUACCUCAAACUUCCAAUUAAAUAGACCCUUAAACUAACCAUGAUUUGUUUUUUUUUUUUGUAAGAUAUCAUUAAUCAAUUUUCUUUUCAUUACGGGUUGAACUUUGCAAGUAGUUAAUUUUGUUUGAUUUAUGUUGUUUUAUUGGACAUUGUUUAAUAAAUACAGCUAAAAUAUUUUAAAACAUAUUUCAUUUUAAUUAUUUCCGUGAUUUUUUUUUGAAACGAAUAACAUUUUUAAUCAACAGAAAUACAUGGGGAAUCUAUUAAAUUUAGAACCUGAAGCGAUGUCAUUUUAGUAAGUUUUAAAAUGAUUUUGGAAGAUUUAAGAAAUACUCUGAUUUAAGUUAAACUACUCUAAAAUCUCAUUUGUUAUAAGAUUUAUUUUUUAGUUUAAACUAAAAUCUUAAUUAAAAAGACUUUACAAUGAAAACUUCAAAAUAUUUCAAAACAGUUCAAUAGUUUAUAAAAUAAAAUUUUAAAAUUCAUGUUUAAAUAAGAAAUGAUUAAUCAUUUUAAUUUAAAUUACCUCAAACUUCUAAUUUUUUUUUACGUCCCUCAAACUUCUAAUUAAGUAGACCUCAUCAAUUAAACAUGAUUAUUAGAAGAUAAAAUAUAGAAUAACAUGGAAGGAACACAUUAAAACAUAAAAGAAACUAAAUAACCUAAACUAAAAAUAGAACAUAGCUUCAUCAAAACAAUUUUAACAAAAUUUAUUUAACAACAACAAGAUAGAAACGAAAUAAAGAAAUCAAUCAUGAAAAUAAUGAUUUACAUAUAUAUGAAAUUAAAACAAAAAUAAAAUAAAAUAUUUAAUGAAACUAAAUAAAAUAUUUAAUAAAAUGAUAAAUGCAACCUAAACUUGGUUUUCCUCAGUUAAGAUCUAUAUCCAAAUUGAAAAAAAAUACGGUCUACUAAAAUUUGAGUUUCUAUUGCGACUUUCAAGUUACAGAAAGAAAGAUUAACAUAAUAAAACAUGAUUAUAUUUUGAUGAGUUUAAGUCAUUAUCUGAAUUGUCAUCUCUUUGGACCUUGACUUUUUGACUGUUGUGUGUGUGUGUGUUUUUACCGUAAUUAUAAUCUCACUACUUGAAGCUUUGGAAGAUUUACUCUGAAGGCUAAGAAGACCAUGCUCGGCUCAAAACAUAGACAAAAGAACAUGCCGGUUAAAGUAUCACGGUUGCUUAGCAAAAGAAAAGGUAUAUCACGGUGUUAUAAGAAAAUUUUAGAUGUAUGUAGAACAUUAUAGAAAAAAAUAUAUGAAAAAUAAGGGCAUAAAUUUUUAUAUGACCCUAGAACAUUAUGAAUAGUUUUAGAAUGUCUAAACAUACACCGUAGAUUAUACACAUCUAAGUAUGAGAAUGAAAAAUUAUAAUGAUGAGGAAGACACUGAGGCAUACUUGAAGAGCUCAUCCUCACGCUGACGAGUGUAGCAUCAACGAUCACUGACAGCUCUCCGGACGUACGUCUCCUUCCUUCUCCACCGCAACUUCCAUCACCUCAACAUUUAAGGCCAACUAAAUGUUAAAACCCAACUGAAAUGGCGGGUAAAUUUUUAUUUGGGCUUUACAUUAAGGCCUACUAUAAUAUUUAAAAUGUUUUACUUUUUAAUAUACACAUGUCUACAAUGAAUUUUCUAACAGGUUGCUAUAUCUAUGACAUUAACAAUGCAUCCAAAGAUUGUUAUUAUUUUAAUAGGAUGAACAAAUUUAUUAUCUCCGUUCGAACAAGAUAAUCAUAAAACAAACACAUGCAUUUACAUUUUUUACUUUUGGAACAUCAAUUUUACUUUAUGUUUUAAAUUCAACUAUAUUUACUUUGAUGUAAUUAUCAGCUAUUUAUUCUAUUUUUAUUGAAUCGGUUAGUAAAAACCACUUUACACUCCAGCACUAACCACUAUCAAAUAGAUCAAAAUAUAAUUAUGAACUCAUUAGAGAAUAAAAUAUACGAAUCCGCCGGAACACCACUAGUCUAUAUAUAUAGAGGAGUGUUUAACUCCCUCCUAGGCUGUCCACGUAGGAUUCCAGCUAGAAAAUUCGUCUCCUAGCAGCUCGACACAUGUUCAUUCUUUAAACUUUGCGUUUCAUUUAUUCUAAUUCGUUUGGACUUUUUUGUGCAUAUUUGGUGAAGCCCAUUUGAUAAAGAGUCAGUCAAUAUGCUCCACACGCGUUGUUUUGUCAACCCGUUUUUUUUCUCCGUCGUCGCGAUAUUGGGUCACCUCCUAGAGUUUCGAUUCAGUUGCCUCAUCUUCUUCCUAUAGAUCCCGAAAUCCACCAGUUAUAGAUUCAUCCUAUUAAAUUCCGUCUUAAAUCAUCCUUCAAUGCAAACUUUGUUCUUGAGCCCUGAUUUAAAUCAUCUUAAACCUCUGGUGGCAGAAGUCCAGUUAUAGAUCUCGAUCUACCUUCAAUGCAAACUUUGUUCUUGGAAGGCGGUGAAACAUCGAGUAUAAAAAUAAGUUGAGUAACUGAAAGAGAGGAUGGCGAAGCGAAUGCUUGGUGAAGAUAUGUCAGGUUCUGCUGAAGGAGUUUGUCCUGCCAUCUCUAACGCUAUUACCAAUCUCUACGGGCUUGAGAGUAGUCACCUACCACCGGAGAUAUUACCCACCGUUUUCCGGUGUACGAGAGUCAGCUCAAUCGACGAUGAAGACGAAGAGUAUGCAUAUCAAACGGCUGUGAACAUCGGAGGUUACGUGUUCAAAGGCAUUCUCUACGACCAAGGUCCAUCAGAUGAUCACCGCUACAGCCCAUAGCCGCAGAAUCCUCUCAACACCAUCUUAACCACUUGGCCUCAGCCUCUUCAGUCGCCACUACAACCGCCGUGACCGCGAGAAAUAUUAAUACCGCAUGAGUUGACCUUUCUUCGGUUUACACUGUGGCAGCGGCUCCGAUCAAUUCUUUUAUCACCGCUGAGGACUAAAUCAGGGCUCAAGAGAGAGAGAGAGAGCAUAAUCCCUAAACGGUAACACUUUUGAAAUCCCAGUCUACUUUUUUUUAUUUUUGGUUUUCCUGAACAUUGGGAGCUACUAAAGGAAAGUAUUUAUCGAUGUGGGUAGUGGAAAAGGAAGUAUUGGAACAGGAUGGUUUGUUAACAAUUACCCAACAAGGAAUCUGCAGUUUGGGAUGUACAAGAUUGAAACGGUGAACGGUGAGAUUAGCCUCGAACCUGAAAAUAUGGGGAUGAAGGAGUGGCUGAAAGAGAAUGUAAAGGAGGAGGAAUAUGUGGUGAUGAAGGCAGAGGUUGAGGUGUUGGAGGAGAUGAUGAGGAGCAAGACGAUAAAAUGGUGGAUAAGCUUUUCUUGGAAUGCAAGCCACGGGUACUAGGGCAGGGAAGGAACAUGGAGACAGCGUGAGAGAGAAUAUCUAUCAAACCAUACGUUUUUGUUUUUACAUUAUCUGCUUUUUUCUUCUGUUUUGUUGUCAGAAUUUUUUUAAUCAUCUUAUGAUCAUUCUGUAUUGCUGUGUGUUUUUAGUAUGUUGUGGUGUUGCUGAAGAUUGUUUUAUUUUCUCCUAGAACAAAUGAAUUCCAUAAAUUUUUGUUACAAGAAAUAAAAAACAUGAAGUCUGAACAUAAA